UUAAGUUCAGCGGGUAUCCCUACCUGAUCCGAGGUCAAACGUGAGAAGGAGUCUUGAUGGAUUGCCGUCCUCUUUUGCUGAUUGCAAGCGCAAAAAUGUGCUGCGCUGCGAAACCAGUAGGCCGGCUGCCAAUCCUUUUAAGGCGAGUCUUUGGCAACCAAAGACAAAAAACGCCCAACACCAAGCAAAGCUUGAGGGUA
rnacentral:misc_RNA from 1 species